rnacentral:rRNA from 9 species
UGACUGCGUACCUUUUGUAUAAUGGGUCAGCGACUUCGUCUCUCGAGCAAGCUUAAGCCGAUAGGUGUAGGCGUAGCGAAAGCGAGUCUUAAUAGGGCGUUGAGUUUGUGGGAUCAGACCCGAAACCGAGUGAUCUAGGCAUGACCAGGAUGAAGGUAAGGUAACACUUACUGGAGGUCCGAACCCACACCUGUUGAAAAAGGUCGGGAUGAGUUGUGCCUAGGGGUGAAAGGCCAAUCAAACUCGGAGAUAGCUGGUUCUCUGCGAAAUCUAUUUAGGUAGAGCGUCAUCCGAAUACCCUCGGGGGUAGAGCACUGGAUGGGUAAUGGGGCCCCACAGGCUUACUGAUCCUAACCAAACUCCGAAUACCCGGGAGUACUAGAUGGCAGACACACGGCGAAUGCUAACGUCCGUCGUGGAGAGGGAAAAAACCCUGACCAUCAGCUAAGGUCCUCAAGUCACGGCUAAGUGUGAAAGGAUGUGGAAAUCCCAAAACAACCAGGAGGUUGGCUUAGAAGCAGCCAUCCUUUAAAGAAAGCGUAACAGCUCACUGAUCAAGCGCCUCUGCGCGGAAAAUGUAUCGGGACUAAAGUUAUUCGCCGAAAUUGCGGACUCGAAAGAGUGGUAGCGGAGCGUUCCGUAAGCCUGUGAAGGUGAACCGUGAGGUUUGCUGGAGGUAUCGGAAGUGAGAAUGCUGACAUGAGUAGCGACAAACAGGGUGAGAGACCCUGUCGCCGAAAGACCAAGGGUUCCUGCGUAAAGCUAAUCUGCGCAGGGUUAGCCGGCCCCUAAGGCAAGGCCGAAAGGCGUAGUCGAUGGGAACCACGUUAAUAUUCGUGGGCCAAGGGAUGAGUGACGGAUUUCGAAAGUUGUAUUCCCUUAUUGGAUUGGGAAUGCAGCCUGGAAGUUCCUGGAAAUAGCCUCCCUAUUAGACCGUACCCGAAACCGACACAGGUGGUCAGGUAGAGAAUACUAAGGCGCUUGAGAGAACUCGGGUGAAGGAACUCGGCAAAAUUGUACCGUAACUUCGGGAGAAGGUACGCUGCUGUUUGUGAUGGGAUUUACUCCCUAAGCAGAUGGCAGCCGCAGUGACCAGGUGGCUGGGACUGUUUAUUAAAAACACAGCACUGUGCUAAAUCGAAAGAUGACGUAUACGGUGUGACACCUGCCCGGUGCCGGAAGGUUAAUUGAUGGGGUUAGCGUAAGCGAAGCUCUUGAUCGAAGCCCCGGUAAACGGCGGCCGUAACAAUAACGGUCCUAAGGUAGCGAAAUUCCUUGUCGGGUA